rnacentral:lncRNA from 1 species
GAGAGAGGCUGAGGAGUACGUACCAAGGGACAGUUUGUGAGACUCUGGCCUUUUGAGAAGGUGAAUCAGCGUGUGUUAGCUCAGGGCAGAGGGCCUGGCGGUGAGACGUGAGAACAGCCAAUGUCAUGGCGGUGGGGGAGUGGACGUGAGCCAUCUGGGGCCCAGCAAACAGCAUGUUGAAAAAAACGAGGAACUCAAAGGCAGAUGAGCCUACCACGCUGGGAACAGUUGGGAGUACAUUGCUCAAGCCCCGGCCAGUUUUAUGUCACUGCUGGUGUGAAGCAGUGAACAGUGACCCAGCAUGCAUCCAGGUGGCGGGACAGAGUCAGACUCUCCAGGGCAGAGAGACUCUAAAACUGACGGCCAGGUCUUGCUCAGACUACGGGCCUGAGGGAAGAUCCAAGACUGAAACAGGGCUUGGAAUGGAGGGGGUGGAGUUGAGGAGAUCACAGAGGACCUAGGAGUGUGUGUAUCGGAGAGAGAUAGGAAACCACUGACCGUUCAGCACACAUUCAGAAUUACUGCCUGUCCCAGGGAGGGACCCACAGCUCCGGCGCUCCGUUCAGCAUCUGGAAGAGCAUAGCUCGCUGUGAGCGGCCGCCCCAGAAGACUGUAUCCCACCCAGCCAGCUCUCCUGCCUGCUUGCCUCUGCCCCACACCAGGACACUUCAUACUGUCAGAACCACUGGGUGUGUGAGCUUGUGAGAGGGUGUGUGGGCACACAUGUCCCUGUGUGGGGUGUGGAGGUCAGAGGGCAACUUGGAGGAAUUGGUUCUCUCCUUCCACCACUGGGGCCCAGGAAUCAAGCCGAGGUUCCCAGACGUGGUAGCAGCCUCCCUUACCUGUUAAACCAGUGCUUCCCAGACUUCCUAAUGCUGUGACCUCAUGCUGUGCUGACCCCCGCCCAUGACAUUAUCUCUGUUGGUAUUUUAUAACUGUAAUUUUGCUACUAUUAUGAAUCACAAUGUAAAUGUCUGUUUUCUGAUG